AAGAAAGAGUGGUCAGAAGGUUGAUGGUAUCCAAGCACCAGGGGAGAUGAGUGACCACUGCAUUUGUCAGCACAGUGGCUGCUGGUGGUCACACAAGACAGUCCCAGGAAGCAGUGGAGUUGGAAGCCCAAUGGAAGAGGAUUAGGUGAAUGUGAGUUUGCUAACCCACGCUCUAUAGCAAAUUUGGUGAUUAAAACUUAGUGUUCAGAAAAGCAGGACUGUGCCUUCAUAUCUCAGUCAACAACUUAUGUCUGGAUCCCUUGUAUCAUUAGUGAGGUGUGUCCUGAUGCAAAGGGCAAGAGGAUACAUCCACAUAUAAUCAAGAAUGUUUCCUCCUUCCUCCUGGAGCAGGUUAUUUGAAUUAGUCACUUGCUGUGAGUUAAGCCUGUUCUGUUUUAUUAUGCCCAAAAACUCAUAAAAGAAAGUGAAAAGACUUGAG